AAAAUCGAGAUGUGUUGCCGAGAGGUCGUGAUUUCCGGGAUAAAUCCGAUUUCCUAGAAAUAUUCGUUAUAAAUCAAUAUUUGAUGGGAGAUUUGGUAUUUGAACUAGUAUAAUGAUUUAUAAUUUUUCUAAAUGUUUAUUAUCUCAAAAUUUAUUUAAAUAAUCCAUUUAAAUAAAUUUUUCUAAAAAUUUAGUUUAUUAUUUUCCCAAAAUAUUUAAAUAAAUCCCAAAAAUUUAUUUAAAUCAAAAUAAAAUUUUAUAAUUUAAGAUUUAACAACAAUCAAAUAUAAAAUGUAUAUAUAUGUAAAAAAAUGAAUUUAUGAAAUUUCUAUUUUAAUAUUUUGAACUUCUAUUGAAAAGAUUUUUCGAAAUUUGGGUAGAUUGUGAAUAUUUCAAUUGUAUGUUUAGGACUUAGGACCUAGUUUAAUAACAGUUUUUGGGAGUAAGGGGUUGAAUCUGGACAAUAUCAUACUUGGGGGACUGCAUGUGGCAAAACCGCAUGCAUGUUUGUGUAUCUGAUUCGUGAACAGGAGGGAAACCUCCUGUUCUUCUUCUUCUUCGUCGCAGGUUUAUUAUAGCCAAAAGAAAUUUCUUAUGUCAUUCGCUAAUCAGUCAAAGAUGCAUGUGAUAUUUGGAAGCAUUCUCUAAGGGGUGGAGGUGCUUACCAGUGGCGAAAAUGGAGGCCAGAAGUGGUAACAGUGGUUGUCGCUGCAACAGGAGGCCGGCAGGGGGGCUGACGGAGGUGGUAGUUCGGUGCUGUUGCCUUCGUUCUUCUUUCUUUUACCAGUAUUUCGAUGCAGGAAUUAUGGAGAAGCUUUUGGGGAUCGAAAUUAAUAGCAAUGACAGCUUAGGGAUGAAGUUCUUGGGUGGUGGAAGUGGGUGUUUGAAGGUUGC
rnacentral:lncRNA from 1 species